rnacentral:sRNA from 1 species
AGAGAGAGCAUUCCAGAAGGAGGAACUGCCCCUGGCCUGCCUUCCUCUCUCUGGGAAGGUAGGGAAGGAAGAGUUGAAGCUACUUUGUAGAGCAUUCUUAUUUUCUCCGUUGUCUCCUAAUGUGUACUUUGAACCUGGUUUGGGAGCAGUCCCUCCACACCAGGGCCUAGCACUCAGGAGACUGAUCUUGGAGUGCCGGAACCUGAAGGGUCCAAGUAGGCCCUCUGGGCCCCCUCUCUUGUAUUAUAGAUGGGGAAACCAAGGCCCAGAGAAGGGAAGGAUUAGCCCAGGGUCACCCAGCAAGUUGGUGCCACAACGGAGUCCCUGAGAAGCCUACCAACUCCCAAGCUGGCAUCAGGGUCAUUUAUUUGGUAUCUGCUGGGUGAGGGGCACAGGGUCAGGCCUUGCCUGGAAUUGAAUCUGCUCUGUGUCUGGGGACAAGUCCGUUACCUCCUCUGGGACUCAGCUUUCCUGUCUGGAUAAACCUUUGUCCCAAGGCUGCCAAGAAGGUCCAGCAAUCACAGAAAGAAUUAAGCGUACAUGAGGGGGUGGGGGGUGAAAGGAGUUGGGGUGGGCGGCAUUAGGGGCAGACUCCCUUGAGGCCUGAGGGCCGUGUGGGGCUGUGCCCAGGUGAGCCCAUUCUUCCAUUUGCUCCCCAGCUGGUAUUCCCUCUCGAAUGGUUUCCACUCAACAAGCCCAGUGUUGGGGACUAUUUCCACAUGGCCUACAACGUCAUCACACCCUUUCUCUUGCUCAAGGUACUGUCCCAGGGCCCCCACUCUCUCCUGUCAUCCCCAUUCUUUGCACACCUGGCAAGAAGGUGAUGCUAAGCCCUGUGUCCUGACUCAAGCACACUCCUGCCUGCUGCUGGGGGGUGAAG